rnacentral:misc_RNA from 1 species
GCAAUAUUAAAAUGGAGGUUAUUAAAGAGUUCCGUUGGGCAUUGCUAGUGAUGAUGGUUUUAUUAUUACAUGGAAGUUGGCACUCUUAUGGUUGUUGGGAGACUGAAAGAAUUGCUCUCUUGCAACUCCAAGCUCAUUUCAAUUAUUCUAUUCAGUUUGACUAUUAUGGUUAUUUGGGGGCCUACGAUUAUUCUGACGAUGUCAAGUGCUGUAACUGGGAAAGAGUCAGGUGCAGUGCCGCUACAGGGCAUGUUACCCAACUCUCACUUUGGGGAAUAAGAGGUUGGAAUUCCUUCGAACAUUGGUAUCUAAAUGCCUCUUUGUUUCUUCCCUUCC